rnacentral:rRNA from 1 species
GAUGAACGCUGGCGGCGUGCUUAACACAUGCAAGUCGAACGGUGAAGCAGAGCUUGCUCUGUGGAUCAGUGGCGAACGGGUGAGUAACACGUGAGCAACCUGCCCCUGACUCUGGGAUAAGCGCUGGAAACGGCGUCUAAUACUGGAUAUGAGCCGCGACCGCAUGGUCAGCAGUUGGAAAGAUUUUUCGGUCUGGGAUGGGCUCACGGCCUAUCAGCUUGUUGGUGAGGUAAUGGCUCACCAAGGCGUCGACGGGUAGCCGGCCUGAGAGGGUGACCGGCCACACUGGGACUGAGACACGGCCCAGACUCCUACGGGAGGCAGCAGUGGGGAAUAUUGCACAAUGGGCGAAAGCCUGAUGCAGCAACGCCGCGUGAGGGAUGACGGCCUUCGGGUUGUAAACCUCUUUUAGCAGGGAAGAAGCGAAAGUGACGGUACCUGCAGAAAAAGCGCCGGCUAAAUACGUG